GAGCUAAACAGGAUUAGAUACCCUGGUAGUCCACGCCCUAAACGAUGCGAACUGGAUGUUGGUCUCAACUCGGAGACCAGUGUCGAAGCUAACGCGUUAAGUUCGCCGCCUGGGGAGUACGGUCGCAAGACUGAAACUCAAAGGAAUUGACGGGGGCCCGCACAAGCGGUGGAGUAUGUGGUUUAAUUCGAUGCAACGCGAAGAACCUUACCUGGUCUUGACAUGUCCGGAAUCCUGNAGAGAUGCGGGAGUGCCUUCGGGAAGCGGAACACAGGUGCUGCAUGGCUGUCGUCAGCUCGUGUCGUGAGAUGUUGGGUUAAGUCCCGCAACGAGCGCAACCCUUGUCCUUAGUUGCCAGCACGUAAUGGUGGGAACUCUAAGGAGACCGCCGGUGACAAACCGGAGGAAGGUGGGGAUGACGU
rnacentral:rRNA from 1 species